CUUUAUUUCACUCUCUCUUUCCCAAUUUAGUGUAAGGCUUUCAAAUCAGAAUCGAGAAAAAAACGAAGGAAAUAAUGGCUUCGGGUUCGUCCAGAACCCUAAUGGAUUUCUUCAAACCAGCAGCAGCUGCUAAGCGCAUCAAACUUUCAUCCUCAUCACCUGAUUCAGCAGUCUGUAAAUCAGUCACUGCGCAUUGCCACUCCGAGUCCGAGUCUCACAUCGACCACAGCUCCGAAGACGAUACCACCCUAAUCAAUGGCCACCAAAAAGCCCGCAUGGAAUUCAACAGACUGCUAGCCAAAGCAAAGCUUAAUCUCAAAAUCUGUUCCCAGAAAGUCUACAAGGCCAAAGCAGGUGAAGGUGACGGUGAUGGUGAUUAUUUGAAAUUGGCGGAACUGUUGGUGGAGGAGACGUGGUUGGAAGCUCUGCCGGGGGAACUUCAGAAGCCCUAUUUCCUGAACCUCUGCAGGUUUCUGGAAACCGAGAUGUGCUCUGGCAUCCGUGUGCCCAUAUACCCGCCUCGCCACUUGAUUUUUAAUGCUCUCAACUCUACCCCUUUUGAUACUGUCAAGGCUGUUGUUCUUGGACAGGAUCCUUAUCAUGGACCCGGUCAAGCAAUGGGCCUUUCAUUCUCUGUUCCCGAAGGGAUGAAGCUCCCUUCCAGCUUACUCAAUAUUUUUAAGGAACUGCACCAGGACCUCGGCUGUUCGGUCCCGUCGCAUGGGAAUCUACAGAAAUGGGCUGUACAGGGUGUUCUACUGCUCAAUGCUGUUCUCACCGUUAGGAAACACCAGGCUAAUUCUCAUUCAAAGAAAGGAUGGGAGCAAUUUACUGAUGCCGUUAUUAAAACAAUUUCACAAAAGAAGCAAGGAGUCAUUUUUCUCCUUUGGGGGAACUCUGCUCAAGAGAAAUCCAGGUUGAUUGAUGAGACUAAGCAUCACAUUCUCAAAGCAGCACACCCUUCUGGUUUGUCAGCAAACAGAGGCUUUUUUGGAUGCAGUAUUGAGUUGCGGUGCAUCCUACAGACUAUACCAGUUAGUUUCUGUGCUGGCAUAACUAUUGGAGAAAGUACACCACUUUGCACCCUAAAACUAUAAGGAAUUUUGCACUCUGCACUCCAAACUAUUAAAUCUGAUACAUGAUACAUCGCACCCUCAAACUGUCAGAAUUUACACUUUGUAUCCUAUGACUAUUUAAAGAAAUGAAAAAUAAUUGACAUUGCCCGAUUGACAGUCAGAUCUUAAUGGAGAAUGCAAAGGUUUUGGUAGUUUGAGGGUACAAGUGUCAUUGUCUUGUAGUUUUGGGUCCAAAAUGUAAAACUCUUGAUAGUUUAAGAUGCAAAGUGUAUUGAUCCCAUAUUAUUUAAUCUUUUGGCAUUUUUCUCGCACAAACAAGCUUUUGGAGCAAAUGGGUGUUACCUCUAUAGAUUGGCAACUUUGACUUGGAUGGGCCAACUUAUAUCCGAAAGUCUUUUUUGUGUUCGCUGAAAUCCCUUUUGAGAUGCACUAGUAAGACAAUUUUUGGUUCUUCUGUCACGUAAAUCCAUUUUCCACAAGACCAGGGCUCUUCCAGUGGCUCCACCAGAAACAGCACACACAUGACAAGAAGUCCUUGCCUGUUUCUAGAUUGUAUUUACUAUUUACUCUAAAAUGCUGAUGUAGAAGCCCGCUGAUUCACUUAUAAUGAAACGAAGUUUUCCUUCA